rnacentral:sRNA from 1 species
UGCUAGCCCUGAUGGAAGCGGCAUCCUUUUCUAGUCCUGAGCUUUUUUCAGGACUAGAAAAGAUACAGCGGACAGCAGGAAAUUGC